CCCCUAGAUGUUCUGGGCCGCACACGCGCUACACUGAAGGAGGCAGCGUGUACUCCUGGAUCGAAAGAUUUGGGUAACCCGCGAAUCUCCUUCGUGCUAGGGAUUGAGGUUUGCAAUUAUCCUUCAUGAACGAGGAAUUCCCAGUAAGUGCAAGUCAUAAGCUUGCGCUGACUACGUCCCUGCCCUUUGUACACACCGCCCGUCGCUACUACCGAUUGAAUGAUUUAGUGAGGACUUCGGACUGGGACCGAUGCGGCUUUCGGGCUGCGUCGGUAUUCUGGAAAGAUGUCCAAACUGUAUCAUUUAGAGGAAGUAAAANUCGUAACA
rnacentral:rRNA from 1 species